AAUGAACGCUGGCGGCAUGCCUUACACAUGCAAGUCGAACGGCAGCAUUACCUAGCUUGCUAGGUUGAUGGCGAGUGGCGAACGGGUGAGUAAUUCAUCGGAACGUGCCUUUUAGUUGGGGAUAACGUAGCGAAAGUUACGCUAAUACCGCAUAUUCUCUGAGGAGGAAAGCAGGGGACCUUCGGGCCUUUCGCUAGAAGAGCGGCCGAUGUCGGAUUAGCUAGUUGGUGAGGUAAAGGCUCACCAAGGCAACGAUCCGUAGCGGGUCUGAGAGGAUGAUCCGCCACACUGGGACUGAGACACGGCCCAGACUCCUACGGGAGGCAGCAGUGGGGAAUUUUGGACAAUGGGCGCAAGCCUGAUCCAGCCAUGCCGCGUGAGUGAAGAAGGCCUUCGGGUUGUAAAGCUCUUUCGGCUGGGAAGAAAUCGCACCCUCUAAUACAGGGUGUGGAUGACGGUACCAGCAUAAGAAGCACCGGCUAACUACGUG
rnacentral:rRNA from 1 species